GGAAAUUUGAAAACUGCCACUGGAUCGAAAAAUGGACGCCGGAGAUUCAUCCACGUCACUAUGAGUAAAAAAUUUACUCACUGUAAAAUUUUUACUCAUGAGCAAAUCCGUGAGUAAAUUUUUACUCGUGAUGAAAUGUAUACGAAUCUUGGAUGUCUAUUUUUCAAUCUAACGGUACUUUUCAAGUUUUC
rnacentral:pre_miRNA from 1 species